CUCAAAGAGCGGGGAAUGUGUAGACGAUAGGGGUCCUAACUGAUCUGAAUUGGAAUUUAGAACCUGGGUGUGUCUGAAGAACACAUGAAAAUCCCCCACCACCCUUGGGUCUAUGGAGGAUGUAUGAAGGUGAGGGAAGACAAAGAAACUGAGACACAGAAAGAUGAGGAAACCUGCCAGGAUCUGAUCUCAGGCCGACUGAAACAUAAGCUUGUAUCUUAAGUGCUUUAUAAUGCUUGCAUUGCCCUGAGUCCAAGUAAAGGGAUAUAAAUAGAUGAACCUCUACUUAAUACCAUAUUUUUUUAAAUCAACAAACACAAAUAUAAAGGAAUAAAGUGGACUCUGAUUA